GAGGGUGCAAGCGUUAUCCGGAAUCAUUGGGUUUAAAGGGUCCGUAGGCGGAUAAUUAAGUCAGGGGUGAAAUCCCACAGCUCAACUGUGGCACUGCCUUUGAUACUGGUUAUCUUGAGUUAUAGGGAAGUAGAUAGAAUAUGUAGUGUAGCGGUGAAAUGCAUAGAUAUUACAUAGAAUACCGAUUGCGAAGGCAGUCUACUACCUAUAUACUGACGCUAAGGGACGAAAGCGUGGGGAGCGAACAGGAUUAGAUACCCUGGUAGUCCACGCCGUAAACGAUGGAUACUAGCUGUUGGGCGUAAGCUCAGUGGCCAAGCGAAAGUGAUAAGUAUCCCACCUGGGGAGUACGUUCGCAAGAA
rnacentral:rRNA from 1 species